UGGCGAACGGGUGAGUAACACGUGGGUGAUCUGCCCUGCACUUCGGGAUAAGCCUGGGAAACUGGGUCUAAUACCGGAUAGGACGAUGGUUUGGAUGCCAUUGUGGAAAGUUUUUCGGUGUGGGAUGAGCUCGCGGCCUAUCAGCUUGUUGGUGGGGUAAUGGCCUACCAAGGCGUCGACGGAUAGCCGGCCUGAGAGGGUGUACGGCCACAUUGGGACUGAGAUACGGCCCAG
rnacentral:rRNA from 1 species